CCUACGGUAUUCCUCCUUGGGGAAUAUUGGACAAUGGGGGGAACCCUGAUCCAGCCAUGCCGCGUGUGUGAAGAAGGCCCUCGGGUUGUAAAGCACUUUCAGUGAGGAAGAACGCCUGGUGGUUAAUACCCAUCAGGAAAGACAUCACUCACAGAAGAAGCACCGGCUAACUCCGUGCCAGCAGCCGCGGUAAUACGGAGGGUGCGAGCGUUAAUCGGAAUUACUGGGCGUAAAGCGCGCGUAGGUGGCUUGAUAAGCCGGUUGUGAAAGCCCCGGGCUCAACCUGGGAACGGCAUCCGGAACUGUCAAGCUAGAGUGCAGGAGAGGAAGGUAGAAUUCCCGGUGUAGCGGUGAAAUGCGUAGAGAUCGGGAGGAAUACCAGUGGCGAAGGCGGCCUUCUGGACUGACACUGACACUGAGGUGCGAAAGCGUGGGUAGCAAACAGGAUUAGAUACCCCGGUAGUC
rnacentral:rRNA from 1 species